rnacentral:rRNA from 1 species
AUUGAACGCUGGCGGCAUGCUUUACACAUGCAAGUCGAACGGUAACAGGCCGCAAGGUGCUGACGAGUGGCGAAAGGGUGAGUAAUGCAUCGGAACGUGCCCAGUCGUGGGGGAUAACGCAGCGAAAGCUGCGCUAAUACCGCAUACGAUCUAUGGAUGAAAGCGGGGGACCGUAAGGCCUCGCGCGCUUGGAGCGGCCGAUGUCAGAUUAGGUAGUUGGUGGGGUAAAGGCUCACCAAGCCAACGAUCUGUAGCUGGUCUGAGAGGACGACCAGCCACACUGGGACGGAGACACGGCCCAGACUCCUACGGGAGGCAGCAGUGGGGAAUUUUGGACAAUGGGCGCAAGCCUGAUCCAGCAAUGCCGCGUGCAGGAAGAAGGCCUUCGGGUUGUAAACUGCUUUUGUACGGAACGAAACGGUCCUGGUUAAUACCUGGGGCUAAUGACGGUACCGUAAGAAUAAGCACCGGCUAACUACGUGCCAGCAGCCGCUGUAA